rnacentral:rRNA from 1 species
AAGGCUAAAAGGACGCGGUAACCUUGACCGUGAUAAUGUAGCAUAAUCACUCGCCAUUUAAUUGAUGGAUAGUAUGAAUGGUUGAACGAAUAUUCCACUGUCUUAGAAAGAAAUAUCAAAAAUUGAAAUAAUAGUCAAGAUGCUAUUUACAACUGUAAGACGAAAAGACCCUAUAGAGCUUAACUAUAGUCUCUAUUUUCACAAAUAAAAUAAAUUAUAUCUUUAUAGAGAUUGGUAGUUUAGUUGGGGCGACUGUCUUCUAAAUCAAACGAAGACAAGCAAUGUUAAUAAUAAAUUUAUUGUAUAACUAAAAAGUUUAACAAUUACAACCGUAGGCUAUAAUGACCCGUUAAGCUGAAGAAAACCUCUUAACGAUUAAUUAAUAAAAGCUACCUUAGGGAUAACAGGAUAAUUUCAUUUUAGAGUCCCUAUCGAAAAUGAAGUUUGUCACCUCUAUGUUGAAUUAAGAUAUCCUGGUAAUGCAGAAG